rnacentral:lncRNA from 1 species
AUGGUGAGCUCCUUAGAGGGAAGUAUAGUACAUAUUUCCUCCAUGUCUCCAGUACCCAACACAGUGCCUGACGUUGAGAGGGCUCUUAAUAAGUGUUUGUGAAAGACUGGUAGAGCAAUGCCCUAUGAAACAAGAAGCUGGAUAACACUGCUUAGGACUCAGAGGAGAGAGGAGUGUGGUCUACACUGCACAUCUCUGCCAAGCCUGGCACGGGAUUUGAAGUUCCACACCACUGAGCCAAACACAUCCAGACCCUCUUCCAACCCGGGGAUCUGGUGGUAAGCAAAAUACUAUUCCAGCAAGUGAUGCCCCCAGUCUCCUAAGGAUAUAAGCAAAAGGAUAAAGCCUCGCCAUGAGCACAGCUGUGUGCUGAGUCCCAGGAGCCCUUCCAGAGAACCUUCAAACAUGAGAAACAGGAAGUUGUGUUUGGCUGCGGACAAACUCUCUCAGUGCCCCUGGGACUUACAAGAUGUUUGGAAUGAGGAACGCUCUCCCAAUGCGAGCUCAGCGGAGGCCCCCAGAAAAACGUGGGGAGGAGAGUUUUCCCCAUAAGACAGACUGUCCUUCAGCCCCGGCCACCAAAGAGGAGUAACCCGGGCCUGCUGUUCUCUGGGACUGAAUGCGGCUGCAUCCUUCCCUUCCUCUGCUUCCUGUCCCGGUACUUACUGACGGUGCACAUGCGGGGCUUGGGGAAGCUGAGUGUCUAACCGCGGUGCAGCUACGGAUGGGAAAUUCUGGGCAGGGACGAGCCUGUCUUCACCUGAGGAAUUCCCUCCCACAUCACACAGGGCAGAGUGGGAGUGGAGGAGGGCAGAGGACACGUCUCAGGGCCAGUAACCUAGGCUUAUAGAAGACGUCAUCACCGUCCUCAUGAUGUUCACCCCGUCUCCUGUUUUUUGGGGCCAUGUGUUCCGAAAUGUAGCUUCAACUCAUCAUAGGGGCAAAAAGAAGUGAUGAGUCUGUGGCAGCAGAAAUCUGGGAAUCCAAGGGUCGUGCUAC